rnacentral:rRNA from 1 species
UACGUAGGGUGCAAGCGUUAAUCGGAAUUACUGGGCGUAAAGCGUGCGCAGGCGGUUGUGCAAGACAGAUGUGAAAUCCCCGGGCUCAACCUGGGAACUGCAUUUGUGACUGCACAGCUUGAGUGCGGCAGAGGUGGAUGGAAUUCCGCGUGUAGCAGUGAAAUGCGUAGAUAUGCGGAGGAACACCGAUGGCGAAGGCAAUCCCCUGGGCCUGCACUGACGCUCAUGCACGAAAGCGUGGGGAGCAAACAGG